GACGAACGCUGGCGGCGUGCUUAACACAUGCCAGUCGAACGGGCCUGUCUUCUUUUUUGGGGGUGGGUUGAGUGGCGAACGGGUGAGUAUCACGUGAGUAACCUGCCCUUCGGUCCUGGAUAACCGCUUGAAAGGGCGGCUAAUACGGGGUGGUCCGGUUGGUCCGCAUGGGCUGGUCGGGAUAGAUUCACUGUUUUUGGUGUUUCGGCGGGGGAUGGGCUCGCGGCCUAUCAGCUUGUUGGUGGGGUGAUGGCCUACCAAGGCGGUGACGGGUAGCCGGCCUGAGAGGGUGGGCGGCCACACUGGGACUGAGAUACGGCCCAGACUCCUGCGGGAGGCAGCAGUGGGGGGUAUUGCACAAUGGGCGGAAGCCUGAUGCAGCGACGUCGCGUGAGGGAUGGAGGCCUUCGGGUUGUGAACCUCUGUUUCCGGUGGUGAAGGCCCUGUCCGUGUGGUGGGGUUGACGGUAGCCGGGGAUGAAGCGCCGGCUAACUACGUG
rnacentral:rRNA from 1 species